AAAUAGAUUAAUCUUUCCUUGCUUAAAAAACAACAACAAUUGGUUCCUCUGUUCUGAAGAAAUGAUCACAGUCAAAUUUCUGAUAAAUACUUUAUUGAAUCUUUUGCAUGAACUAGACAGAUCCAUGGUGCACAUGUAUCUUAGCCUAUCUUACACGCACCGAUUUAUUAGCACGACCCAUCCAUUGUUUCUACGUCGUUUAAUUAGAGCAGCAGCAAGAACCACCAUUGUCUGGUUUACAGUGGCUUUUUUUGAAUUCGAAAAAUGAGCAGUGGUUCCUGCACGCCUCUUCGGAUUCAUGGCCUUUCUCACAGCUUGCAAAACGCACACACAAGUCCAAGGGGAUUGGUUUUGUUGAACCUGUGCACGAGAAAGUAUAGCAGCGUCAGCAUACAUAAAUUACGUAAGUUACAUGGGUUAGGCUGAAUUACACAUGCAAAGGCGUGCGCACGCUAAAAAUGAAUAUGAAAAUAUAUAGACAAACGACUGUAGUACCUGCAUGGCAUGAUAAUAGGGUGGUAGACAUCAUCACAAGAGCUACCAAGAGUAGGGCUCUUGUGUUGUUCUUGAUAAGUUCCAUGAGGAAUGGUUUCUUGUUUCUUUAUUUCUACGUAUGUGCAAGUAUCCUUGUAGUUUGCACUUGUCAACCUAUGCCUUUUGUGUUGGUGUUUAUAUAAGCAUGACCAGACCUGGGAGGAUCAGUUCUUGCCCUUCUACUUUUGGCUGGAGUUGAUUACUACUUAUAAAACUGAAUAGAUAUAUACCAAAGUAUUUUGUGUUAAACAAGGAUAUAUACCAAAGUAUAUCUUGUGCAUAAGUUGUUAUUAAUUGGUUCUUAAGUUCUGAUAUUUGAAAUUAUUUGGUGCUUUAAAAUGACAUACAUAUCACACAGUAAAAGUUAUCUUUGACAUAGCUUGUUAUCUUCUUAAAAAUGGUGGAUUAUUAUUUGCUCUGAAUAUUGGCGAAUGUAAUUACUUGAUGUUAAGUUCUCUUAAAGUAUAUGAUCUAGAAUCUCCUUUUACUGAUAGGAUCUCAAAAAAAAAUUAGUAUUGAUCAUGAUAUUUGAAAUAUUUGACAUGACAAAGAAAAUAUUUUUUUUUUGAGGCUAAGUGAUAAUAUCAAUAGGAUGUUAUUCGAAUAAGAACAACUAAUUAUUAAUCUAUGUGGAGCGUGCUAGGUCUAAUGCCAAAGCAGACCAAGCACUCCGCAUGUUAAGAUAUGUCUGCAACGCUCGUGGAUACACUUUAUCGGUGUGUAGCACCCCAAUUUAGUUUCGAGCAAUUCAGUAAAUUCAAUACUGCAACCAAUGCACAUGCCUGACUAGUGUUUAUUUUUAGGCUACAAGAUACCGCAACACGGGGAGAAAAGCAGCAACACUACUUGGGUGUGGCCUAUAAGGUUAGAUGCCUCUAACCAAACCGGUGGAUUGAAUGUCUAUAGAGCUCUAGUGCAUAUGUCGACAUGGCACAAAUCAUCCUUCAUCAGAUUAACCCCUAUAGAAAUCUAUAUAUAGGCAUGAACAUUCUCAAGAAAAUCACUGUCAGAUAUAUAGAAUACAUACAAAUGAAUUUGUACCAAAGUGCUGAUACAAUGUAUUGUGAUGUACAAUAUGAUGACAACAAUACAUAUGUUCUUAUUACAACAUCAAAAAUGGACAUAAAUUAUAUUGACCACUCAGGAGACUGAGAGACUAUUCAUAGUCUCCAAACAUGUCGGUUGAGGCAUAUUCAACCAUCACGUUCUUCGUGCCCAUAUGGUCCCCUCACCUUUGAUGAUGUCAGGUUGAUGGUUGGAGUGGGCUUCAAACCUUUGCCCUUAAGGCCCUUUGUAUCGCAGGGAUUGCUAAUACAGAAUAACCAGAUGCUGAGAUCUAGAUCGAUAUAAUGCCUUAUGAUGCAUAAGGUAACAUAUUUAUCCUGUUAGCGGUGUGACUCCAAGCAUAGGUGAAUCCGACAGGUCUUGGAUUGCACAUAUUAUCCCACGUGACACAAGAGCGAUCAUGAUGUCCAUGGCCCAGGUAGGGCUAUGGUGGCCAUUGAGGGCGAAUGCCUCAAAUUCUCUAGCCAUCGGUUACCAGAGAUAAUUAAUUUAUGAUCAGUAAAUUAACGACCAUCAUGGUUAGUGUUCUAAUGAAUUUUGCAAAAUUAAUGGAUAUUUCAAGAACUUAGGUUGAAAUCAUUAGUGUGAAUCUCAAAUUGCUAAGUAUGACAUCUUGAAGAUAGUCUUCAAAAUGGAUUAGAUCUCGCAGCACCAAGGAGUAUAAUCUGAUGAAAUCAGUAGAUACUCACUCGUAAUGUCUUAUGUCACGACAUAGUAAAAUAUGUGGGAGAGCACUUAAUUUGUAAAGUAAUCAUAAUGUCAAGAUGACAAAAUGUUGGCUUUAACAGUAGUGGUGAUAAUUUGCAAAGCAGUAAAUCUACACACUACCUUGUGACCUCAAUACAUCAAUUUGAAGAAAUCACUAAAAAAUUUGCAUUCAUAUUUGCAAGAAAUUAACAAUCUCAAUUGCAAAUAGACGUAAUUAAUCUCGACACGUGACAAGCGUGAAAAUAUAUUACAUCAACUUAGGUUCUGGAAUACAUUGGUACUCAACAGAAAACAGUACUGAAAUAUAACAUGUAAAAACAUGAAUGAAAUCACUUCUAGAACUACUGCUAGGUGAGAUAUCUGCUAAUAUGUUAAAUCAAUGGAGCAAAUAGCAAGUAAAGCAAGCGUUGCUGGCUGCCUAAAGUCCCAGCCACAAGCAAAUUGGCCACGUAAAAGGCAGCCUAGCCUGGUCAACCCGAGCAGACAAGGGAGAGCGACCAGAGGAAAAAUCGCCCAGGAGCUUUCUAUCCCAAAUCCGGACCGAGACAGGCGGAGACCCCAGCGCUGGCCGACCGGCCGCAUCACCGACGGCGAGAAGAGAUCCCGCCGCGCUCGUCCUCGAAUGAGUCACCAGGGAGGACUCGCGAGCCCGAGCGCCUCGGCACGGCCGGAGCGGCUGCUCGACGGUGGGCUCACCAGCGGGACGCCGAGUGGCAAGGGAGCCGCGUCCCGUGGAGGACGGCAUGCACGGGUAUCCCGGCAGCAAGAAGGCGAGCGCGUGGCUGGCGACGACCUCGACGACCGCGGGGGUCGGAGAUGGCAGCGGCGCAGCCUCGUGCGUCUGCGAGCACCGCGUCGGGAGGUGCGAGUCAGACCGCACCGACUGUCGCUGUCGUUCCUUGACUGUAUGGCGCGGUUCCGUCGUACGCCAGUGCCAGGAGCCGGUGAAAGAAGAUAAGGAGGGCGCGUGGCAAGAUACGGCACCGUGGCUGAUGCUAGUGCUUUCUACAGAGUGAAAAAAACAUGGUGAAGUACCUUUUUUCUUCUCAUAUGGCAGUUUGUUGGUUGCUAAAAAAAACGAGACCAACUGUGACGCCCGGAUAAUUAAGCUACAGUGAUCCCACGCUAAUAUUGCCACGUCACCAUGGUUACUGCUGCUAAUCUAUCGCUAGAUCAAAACCGGUCCAAAAUUCAAAUUCAAAGUUUGGUAAAUAAUAAAAAAUUCAAACAUUAAAAUAAAAAUGUUUGGUUUGUACUAAAUAUUGCAUAGGUAAUUAUGGUGGAGAGACCACACUUCUAUAAAAUGUUAAAUAAUCUAAAAUGAAUAAAUAGUAGCUAAAACAAUUAAUAAGUGCUUUUUGAAUUUUAUAAAAUACUAAACUAUUUUGUUCAGGGGUAAAACCUUUUGUGACGGUAGUUGGAAUUGUAACUCUAUUUUAGAUGUGGGUUUUACCUUUUGUAAAACUAUAAAAUAUUAAAGAAAUAAAAGAAAACGGAAAGCAAAGAAAAGAAUAAAAACAAAAAAAGAAACUAGAAAAAAGAGAGGAAAGGACCCCCCCACUGGGCCAACNNNNNNNNNNNNNNNNNNNNNNNNNNNNNNNNNNNNNNNNNNNNNNNNNNNNNNNNNNNNNNNNNNNNNNNNNNNNNNNNNNNNNNNNNNNNNNNNNNNNNNNNNNNNNNNNNNNNNNNNNNNNNNNNNNNNNNNNNNNNNNNNNNNNNNNNNNNNNNNNNNNNNNNNNNNNNNNNNNNNNNNNNNNNNNNNNNNNNNNNNNNNNNNNNNNNNNNNNNNNNNNNNNNNNNNNNNNNNNNNNNNNNNNNNNNNNNNNNNNNNNNNNNNNNNNNGCUUUCCCCCAUCCGCCGCCACCUGCGUGCUCGCACAUAUCGCGCCCGGGAGAGGAGCUCCCCGCGCACGUCCCCUUCGCGAGUGCCUCCUACCACCGUGAAUGCAAGCCGCUCCGGCGAUGCUUCGCUACCCUGCCACCCACCGGCUCCCUUCCCCCUCUUCCUCUGCGCCUCCCCGUCGCCCCUGCCCGACUGCCUUGUCAUCGGCGGCCCGCGCCGCGCCGGCCAUCAGAGCAACCAGCCAGCACCACCAGCUCCUCCCGCGUGACGACCAUGUCGUUCUCCAUCGUCUGCGUCCGCUUGUCGCCCCGCUCACCGUCGUCGCCUCGCCAUCGCCGGACCUCCUCGUCCCCUUCCUCGAGCCGUCUUCAUCAAGCCUCGCCGGCGUACAUCUACAACGUGGGGUGAGGACCCGUUCUUCCCCUUCCCCCUUCGGUUGCCGGCGACGAUUGCAUCCAGCACCGAACCUGCCGUGGGCCGCUCCCUUGUACUAUUCGCUGCGCCUGCAGCCGGCGCCCUCACGCGCACACGCCCGUGCGUGGCCUCAUUGCCGCUGCUGCCGUGCUAUGCCAGCCGCUCGCCUCGCGCCGUCACAGCCGCCGUUCGGGUUCGCCCGUUAACGGGCGCCUGCCCGUCACCCAUUUCCCUUUCGCCCGUUCAGGCUGUGCCCAUCGCCCAUGCCUGCUAUGGCCCCAGGGGCCUAUGACAAGUGGGCCCUUGCCCUAGAACGUUUAUAAAAAUGUUAAAACUAAUUAGUUAAUUAAUUAAUUAGUGAAUUAAUUAAAUUAAUUAAUUCUGUUUAACUAGACUAAUUAAAAUUAGUUAACAUAAUCCAGUAAUUAAACUAAUUAACCAUGUUUAGUUAAUCUAUGGCUAUGACGGGCGUGACCCACCUGCCAGGGUUGACCUAGUCAACCUUUGGUCUUGCUGACAUCAUGUAGAUGUCAUGCUGACAUCACAUUUAUAUUUUGUAAUUAAAUUAGUUCUGUUAAUUCUAAAAAUGAAUUAAAAUUUCGAUAAUUAAUAUAAAAUAAACCGUAACCUGGAUGAAAAUACUUUGUACAUGAAAGUUGCUCAGAACGACAAGGCGAAUCCGAAUACGCAACCCGUUCGUCCGCCACGCGUCCCUAGCAUAGCAAACAUGCAACUUUCCCCCUUCGAUUCAUCUGUCCGAAAACGCGAAACACCGGGGAUACUUUCCCGGAUGUUUCCCCCUUUCGCCGGUACCACCUACUGCCACGUUAGGGCACACCUAGCACCGCGUAUUGCCAUGUUACGCUUUGUGAUGCUUUGAUUGCUCCAUUAUUUAUUGUGUUCCCCCUCCAUUACUUCUUUCCGGUAGACCCCAAGACUGCCAGCGACCCCAGUUCGACUAUGAAGUUGACGACCCCUCCUUGCCAGAGCAACCAGGCAAGCCCCCCCUUGAUCACCAGAUAUCGCCUAUUCUCCUCUAUACUGCUUGCAUUAGAGUAGUGUAGCAUGUUACUGUUCGGUUACUCCUAUUCUGUUGCAUAGCCUGUCAUUGUUGCUACAGUCAUUGAUACCUUACCCGCAGUCCUAAAUGCUUAGUAUAGGAUGCUAGUUUAUCAUCAUUGGCCCUACAUUCUUUUCAUUCUGCCUUGCUAUACUAUCGGGUCGUGAUCACUUGGGAGGUGAUCACGGGUAUAUACUAUACAUAUAUACAUACUAUACAUAUAUACAUACUAUACAGAUGGUGACUAAAGUCGGGCCAGCUCGUUGAGUACCCGCAAGUGAUUCUGAUGUGGGGGCUGGAAGGACAGGUGGCUCCAUCCCGGUAGAGGUGGGCCUGGGUUCCCGACGGCCCCCGACUAUUACUUUGUGGCGGAGCGACAGGGCAGGUUGAGACCGCCUAGGAGAGAGGUGGGCCUGGCCCUGGUCGGCGUCCGUGGUUAUUUCAUAAUAACACGCUUAACGAGAUCUUGGUAUUUGAUCUGAGUCUGGCCACUGGCCUAUACGCACUAACCAACUACGCGGGAACAGUUAUGGGCACUCGACGUCGUGGUAUCAGCCGAAGCCUUCUUGACGUCAGCGACGGAGCAGCGCGUGCCAGAUUGGACUGGAACGCCUACUCUUGUAUAAGGGAGGCUAGGUCUGCUUCCGGCCGCCCUCGCAACGUGCAGGUGUGCAAUGGGCGAUGGGCCCAGACCCCUGCACGCAUAGGAUUUAGACCGGUGUGUUGACCUCUCUGUUGUGCCUAGGUGGGGCUGCGACGUGUUGAUAUUCCGAGGCCGGGCAUGACCCAGGAAAGUGUGUCCGGCCAAAUGGGAUCGAGCGUGUUGGGUUAUGUGGUGCACCCCUGCAGGGAAGUUAAUCUAUUCGAAUAGCCGUGAUCUUCGGUAACAGGACGACUUGGAGUUGUACCUUGACCUUAUGACAAGUAGAAUCGGAUACUUAAUAAAACACACCCUUCCAAGUGCCAGAUACAACCCGGUGAUCGCUCUCUAACAGGGCGACAAGGGGAGGAUCGCCGGGUAGGAUUAUGCUAUGCGAUGCUACUUGGAGGACUUCAAUCUACUCUCUUCUACAUGCUGCAAGACGGAGGCUGCCAGAAGCGUAGUCUUCGAUAGGGCUAGCUAUCCCCCUCUUAUUCUGGCAUUCUGCAGUUCAGUCCACUCAUAUUGCCUCCUUACACAUAUACCCAUGCAUAUGUAGUGUAGCUCCUUGCUUGUGAGUACUUUGGAUGAGUACUCACGGUUGCUUUUCUCCCUCUUUUCCCCCUUUCCCUUCUACCUUGUUGUCGCAACCAGAUGUCGGAGCCCAGGAGCCAGACGCCACCGUCGACGACGACUCCUACUACAUUGGAGGUGCCUACUACUACGUGCAGGCUGCUGACGAUGACCAGGAGUAGUUAGGAGGAUCCCAGGCAGGAGGCCCGCGCCUCUUUCGAGCUGUAUCCCAGUUUGUGUUAGCCUUCUUAAGGCAAACUUGUUUAACUUAUGUCUGUACUCAGAUAUUGUUGCUUCCGCUGACUCGUCUAUGAUCGAGCACUUGUAUUCGAGCCCUCGAGGCCCCUGGCUUGUAAUAUGAUGCCGGUAUGACUUAUUUUACUUUUAGAGUUGUGUUGUGAUAUCUUCCCGUGAGUCCCUGAUCUUGAUCGUACAUAUUUGCAUGCAUGAUUAGUGUACGAUUGAAUCGAGGGCGUCACAAGUUGGUAUUAGAGCCGACUGCCUGUAGGAAUCCCCUUCCACACUCCUUGGCCAAAGUCGAGUCUAGUCACUACAAAACUUUUACUAACAUGGCUGCGUGUCUUACGGGCCCACGUCUCCAUUUGGGUGGUAUUAGGAUCUUUUACUCCUCGUCUAUACUCUGGGACUCUGAUCUCUCUUCUAUUCGGGUUAAAUGAUUUUGCUAAAAAGACUAACUUUAGGUUCUCGAAAAUACUUUCUCCCGGAGAGCCCUCACUCCAGAUGAUCGCUUGCCGCACCAGAAGAUUCCGAAGAUACUCUUCGAGGUUUUUCCGAGACCCUUGUGCCCAUCGACUUUAUAAUCCCCUACCACCGAUAAACCCUUAUGGAUAACUACCUACAAUUGUCGUUCAUACCUUCAUCCUCAGUUGCUCUUGUUAUUACAAGAUGCCUUAAGUUGCUCUACGUUGUUCCGAAAAUCUUUUAAGCUUACUGUGUUGCAGUUCUCUACCACAUGAAUACCCCUAUUGAAAAUUCCUCGCACUUAUUGAGUAUCCGUUCAUCCCCAGUUGUUCAUAUGCUUCAUAAGAGUCUCUGAAAUACUAUCCGACCUUCUGAGCAUCCUCUUCAAACUAUUGCUCUGCAAAUACUUGUAUGCUUACAUUAUGGAUGCUCCCAUAUCACUAGCAAUAUUCACUAGUAUCUUUUGACACUGUCAUUUUGAUCCUAUUGAUUCAACAUGUGUGCGAAUGCACACAAUCAUCAAUCGACCCUUCUAAAUUAUCUUUCCGUCUCAGACAUCAUUCUGAACAUGAACUGGUUCUAGACCAAACUAUUUGUCGUCAAUUGUGCCUCUGGUCUAUCCAACUUAUCCAUCCUUGAUCAUAGCGUCUGCUUCUGAUCCCUUGUUUUGGAAAUCAUAAUUCCUUUGUUAUCUAAGCAUCGAAUUAUUCGGAUAUUCUAUAAUCUGAUGCCCGUGCAUUCUUUCUUCCUCUGAUUGAGUACUGAUACUCAGAUCAGCUCCGGUGUGGAUCGCCCGAUCCAUUGUUGGAUUUCAUCCGACAUCGUCUUUCAUAUUCAAUAACCUUGUGAGCCUUUCCACGGGUAUAUAAUGCCUUUGGUAAAUUGUAUCCUUUGCUUGGCCAACCAUGCUCUGCUUUCAAGCUUGUGUAUUUACUUUUGAAACUUGUGGUAUAUGUUACUAAGAUGCCCGAUGGGUUGAACCUAUGCCUUCCCCUAAUUCGUGAGAACCCGAAAGUUUUCACAAGUCAUACUCUUCUGGUGUUUUACCAGAUAAAAUUCCAAAACUACAGUUAUAUCAAAGCGAGAGGUGAAUGAAAUGAUAUGCAUUAAAGAAGUGGGAGUUAACCUUGAACUUUGUGUUCAUGCCCAUGAAAAUGAUGUAGACCAUCUCGGAAGCUUCUUGCAAAAUGAUUAUCCAGCUGUAUGAUUCUUUCGGUAUUCUUGAAUUGAUUCCUUACAGUUAUGGUUCCGACCAUGCUGUCCUGAUCUGAUAUAUCUGAUGGGAAUUCAUUCCAAUGCCUCGUCUAUUUUUGGCGAGGUUAAAGUAUCUACUAUCACAGAUCAAUGACCCGGUUCUACUUCUAUCAUGUUCUACCUUCGAGUAUUACCCCUGGUAUCUCAAAGAUAUCUUGCCAUUGCACCACAUCUUACUAACUUUGUUGAAGUAAUGUCUUUCCUUGUCGUAAUCACUCUACGGGUUCCGGGUUGUUGUCAACCGAGGACACCGACUAGUGAAAUUAUUCUGCACUACAAAUCAAAUACCCCUAGUAUUUUUACUAGGAAAUUUUGAACUCAAUCUGCUCAUUCCUAGACUAUCGGCUGCAUCCUGGUCUUGCUACCUUUGACUGUGCUACCUCGUCCUUCUCUAGUGCACGAAUUCUUCAGUGUGUGAGCACGACUUACGUCGAGCUUUCAACAUCAUGUUGCUUGUCUUCAAAGGCAACUUUGGUUCCGAGCUUGCAUCUUAUAUAUUGAUCCUAUAACUUGCCACUUCGUCAUUUCCUUGCUUGUUGCCAUUGUUGUUUGAUUGCAUCCUCUUGAAACCUCCCGGCAAAUGUGUCGGAUCACCUUCAACACUUUGACUUCUUUCGAGAUGUCAACUGUGUUCAUCAUGAGAAAUACCCUCCUUGCCCUCGAUGAUUUUUAGUAUCAUCGACAACACCCUUGACUUUCCUUUCAUCGCGAACUUGUCCACAUUAUGAAUACAACUUGCUUUCCAGCUUGUAUUAUGUUCUACCUUGAAGUAUUACUAUCUUUUAUGUCAAGGAUGUUGUGAGGAUUGCUCCACCUCUUGAGAGUUCCUAGUAUAGUGAUACUUCUCACCAUCACCAUUAAUUCUUGUUCCCUAUGUCAAUUCUAACUGGUACACCGACAAGUGAACGGUACUCUUUGGAUUCUGCACUUCUAGUGACCCUAUUGCUUUGAAGUUAAUGGUCUACAUUUCAUUCUUAGACCAUUGGUUAUCGAAUCAUCGUUCUAAGCAUUGAUCAUGCUACAUAGGCCCAUAUUUUGGGUGCACCUUUUCAACCAAUGUUUAAUUGUGUAUGUUUUCCUCGAGCAUACAUCAUUAUAUCAUCUGAUCUGACUGAUGUUAUCUCCUUGUUCACAUGAUUGUGGAAAUCCAUAUUUCUGGAAAUUUUGAUGGGUUGUCGCUGAGUCCAUCAGCCACCUCCGCAUCCUCUCUUUUGUUUACUAUGAACUCUUGUUUCGGUACUCGCUUCCAUAGUUCAUUUUCCGAGAAUUUUACAAUGUCAUCUCGUCAAUUUGUGUUGUACCUUUUCUUCUCAGGCAUCCCGAGUCUGAGGAUUUUGACACCAAUCAGAUCUGAAUCUUUGUCAGAUAUGAUGGUUGGGACAUAUUUCCAAGAGUUAUAACAUUGGUAUUUAUAUGACCCAGUAAGGUGAUGUCAUGCCUAGCACACCUGGCCCGAGUCCCUAUUGUUAUAGAAUCCUUUUCAGCAAGGCUAUCCAUUCUUCCAUGAGGAAAUUGUAAGACUUACCCUAUAAGUUGUUUCCGAUGAAUCCUUUGUGUUUCCAAAGUUUGAUCAUCAGCUGAUGACCAUGCCAAUGCUAUCUCGAAGCAUGUCUGUGGUACUCCGAUUUUCAACAAGAACAUUUGAAGCCCAAUGCUAAAUGUUUCUUACUCAAUUAUCCAAACACCGUUGCAUGGGUAAUGUCAUGAAAUUUCUCUCCCCUUACCUAAAGGGUUUUCUACAUUAUAUCCUGUCAUGGAUAUCAUGCUCGGCUUGUCCUUGGGAAGGAUAUACCCUGAAAUAUGUGUUUAAACACAUAUUCCUUUCCAUUAAAUUGUUUGACCUUCCUUGUGAUCCAUAUGAUCUAAGCACUAAUGUUCUUCUGCUUAUGUAAACACCUUAGUGUACAACCGUGUCAGUAAGACCCUGUUGCAUUUCUCGAUAGCAUUCCGGUAACCACCGAUGGACGAGAACUUUGCCUAUUGGUCCGCCUCGUCCUAACGAGCAGGAAAAUGGUUCUCUUUGUCCCUCGCCCUUGGUACCGACGUUAUUGCCGACAUAAUCGGCAGGCUACCCUCAGACAUGCCUUGCUUGCAUGAUCACGCAAGACGUCUCCGCCCUUCCUACUUUUAACCCACAUGGUGGGCCCAUAACCCACAGUUCCACAUGAUCGAAACCUGACUCUCCUGUGCACCCCCUGUUCCCAAAUUUAUUCCUCGCGCGUGGCCUCGUAUGUAAUUCACGGACCACCGUCCUACUGAUCUAUACUGGCAUAAGACAAAAUACUUAUUCUGAUUGCUUUGAACCCCUUUCACACUCUGUUUCAGGCAUCGAACGAUUGCCUGCCGCUUGAAACUUCUCAUGACACCUUCCUACUUUGCUCUCGAUAUUUUCUAAAGGUUUUUAAUUCGAGAGUUACUUCCCCCACCUUCCCCGAUGUUAUCAACAAGUUAGUCAACCUUGCAGAGGUCUGUUCUCCCAGCCCCUUUAUUCUUUCAUAAGUACGGUGAAAGUUCCUGAAGAAAGGAUGCCGACUUCAUCAUGAUGACUGGAGCAGAGAAAUAAAGAAAUCAACGAAAGGGAUCAACUUCUUCGAGAAGAGCAACCGAAACUGAGAAGAUCCGUUAGAUUUUUUGUAACCCAAUCCUUUUCCCCUUACUCCCCUCCUAAAUCUCGGGACGAGAUUUCUUGUAGUGGAGGAGAAUUGUGACGCCCGGAUAAUUAAGCUAUAGUGAUCCCACGCUAAUGUUGCCACGUCACCACGGUUACUGCUGCUAAUCUAUUGCUAGAUCAAAACCGGUCCAAAAUUCAAAUUCAAAGUUUGGUAAAUAAUAAAAGUUUUCACACAUUAAAAUAAAAAUGUUUGGUUUGUACUAAAUAUUGCAUAGGUAAUUAUGGUGGAGAGACCACACUUCUAUAAAAUGUUAAAUAAUCUAAAAUGAAUAAAUAGUAGCUAAAACAAUUAAUAAGUGCCUUUUGAAUUUUAUAAAAUACUAAACUAUUUUGUUCAGGGGUAAAACUUUUUGUGAUGGUAGUUGGAAUUGUAACUCUAUUUUAGGUGUGGGUUUUACCUUUUGUAAAACUAUAAAAUAUUAAAGAAAUAAAAGAAAACAGAAAGCAAAGAAAAGAAUAAAAACAAAAAAAACAAAACUAGAAAAAAGAGAGGAAAGGAACCCCCCCCCACUGGGCCAACGGGCCCAACUGGCCAGCCAGGCCCCCUCGCGCCCCUCGCCUAUAUGGCCUGCCCUCCCGGCCAACCCUAGCCACACCAUCCUGCACUCCUCGAUCCCCAUCUCUCCCCUCGCUUUCCCCCAUCCACCGCCACCUGCGUGCUCGCACAUAUCGCGCCCGGGAGAGGAGCUCCCCGCGCACGUCCCCUUCGCGAGUGCCUCCUACCACCGCGAAUGCAAGCCGCUCCAGCGAUGCUUCGCUACCCUGCCACCCACCGGCUCCCUUCCUCCUGUUCCUCUGCGCCUCCCCAUCGCCCCUGCCCGACUGCCUUGUCAACGGCGGCCCGCGCCGCGCCGGCCAUCGCAGCAACCAGCCAGCACCACCAGCUCCUCCCGCGUGACGACCACGUCGUUCUCCAUCGUUUGCGGCCGCUCGUCAACCCGCUCAUCGUCGUCGCCUCGCCAUCGCCGGACCUCCCCGUGCCCUUCCUCGAUCCGUCUUCAUCAAGCCUCGCCGGCGUACAUCUACAACGUGGGGUGAGGACCCCGUUCUUCCCCUUCCCCCUUCGGUCGCCGGCGACGACCGCAUCCAGCACCGAACCUGCCGUGGGCCGCGCCCUUGCACUAUUCGCCGCGCCUGCAGCCGGCGCCCUCACGCGCACACGCCCGUGUGUGGCCUCAUUGCCGCUGCUGCCGCGCUAUGCCAGCCGCUCGCCUCGCGCCGUCACAGCCGCCGCUCGGGUUCGCCCGUUAACGGGCGCCCGCCCGUCACCCAUUUCCCUUUCGCCCGUUCAGGCUGUGCCCAUCGCCCAUGCCUGCUAUGGCCCCAGGGGCUUAUGACAAGUGGGCCCUUGCCCUAGAAUGUUUAUAAAAAUGUUAAAACUAAUUAGUUAAUUAAUUAAUUAGUGAAUUAAUUAAAUUAAUUAAUUCUGUUUAACUAGACUAAUUAAAAUUAGUUAACAUAAUCCAGUAAUUAAACUAAUUAACCAUGUUUAGUUAAUCUAUGGCUAUGACGGGCGUGACCCACCUGCCAGGGUUGACCUAGUCAACCUUUGGUCUUGCUGGCAUCAUGCACAUGUCAUGCUGACAUCAUAUUUAUAUUUUGUAAUUAAAUUAGUUCUGUUAAUUCUAAAAAUGAAUUAAAACUUUGAUAAUUAAUAUAAAAUAAACCAUAACCCGGAUGAAAAUACUUUGUACAUGAAAGUUGCUCAGAACGACGAGGCGAAUCCGAAUACGCAGCCCGUUCGUCCGCCACGCGUCCCUAGCAUAGCAAACAAGCAAAUUUCCCCCUCCGGUUCAUCUGUCCGAAAACGCGAAACACCGGGGAUACUUUCCCGGAUGUUUCCCCCUUUCGCCGGUACCACCUACUGCCGCGUUAGGGCACACCUAGCACCGCGUAUUGCCGUGUUACGCUUUGUGAUGCUUUGAUUGCUCCAUUAUUUAUUGUGUUCCCCCUUCGUUACAUCUUUCCGGUAGACCCCAAGACUGCCGGCGACCCCAGUUCGACUACGGAGUUGACGACCCCUCCUUGCCAGAGCAACCAGGCAAGCCCCCCCUUGAUUACCAGAUAUCGCCUAUUCUCCUCUAUACUGCUUGCAUUAGAGUAGUGUAGCAUGUUACUGUUUGGUUACUCCUAUUCUGUUGCAUAGCCUGUCAUUGUUGCUACAGUCAUUGAUACCUUACCCGCAAUCCUAAAUGCUUAGUAUAGGAUGCUAGUUUAUCAUCAUUGGCCCUACAUUCUUGUCAUUCUGCCUUGCUAUACUAUCGGGCCGUGAUCACUUGGGAGGUGAUCACGGGUAUAUACUAUACAUAUAUACAUACUAUACAGAUGGUGACUAAAGUCGGGCCAGCUCGUUGAGUACCCGCAAGUGAUUCUGAUGUGGGGGCUGGAAGGACAGGUGGCUCCAUCCCGGUAGAGGUGGGCCUGGGUUCCCGACGGCCCCCGACUGUUACUUUGUGGCGGAGUGACAGGGCAGGUUGAGACCGCCUAGGAGAGAGGUGGGCCUGGCCCUGGUCGGCGUCCGUGGUUAUUUCAUAAUAACACGCUUAACGAGAUCUUGGUAUUUGAUCUGAGUCUAGCCACUGGCCUAUACGCACUAACCAACUACGCGGGAACAGUUAUGGGCACUCGACGUCGUGGUAUCAGCCGAAGCCUUCUUGACGUCAGCGACGGAGCGGCGCGCGCCGGAUUGGACUGGAACGCCUACUCUUGUAUAAGGGAGGCUAGGUCUGCUUCCGGCCGCCCUCGCAACGUGCAGGUGUGCACUGGGCGAUGGGCCCAGACCCCUGCGCGCAUAGGAUUUAGACCGGCGUGUUGACCUCUCUGUUGUGCCUAGUUGGGGCUGCGAUGUGUUGAUCUUCCGAGGCCGAGCAUGACCCAGGAAAGUGUGUCCGGCCAAAUGGGAUCGAGCGUGUUGGGUUAUGUGGUGCACCCCUGCAGGGAAGUUAAUCUAUUCGAAUAGCCGUGAUCUUCGGUAACAGGACGACUUGGAGUUGUACCUUGACCUUAUGACAACUAGAACUGGAUACUUAAUAAAACACACCCUUCCAAGUGCCAGAUACAACCCGGUGAUCGCUCUCUAACAGGGCGACGAGGGGAGGAUCGCCGGGUAGGAUUAUGCUAUGCGAUGCUACUUGGAGGACUUCAAUCUACUCUCUUCUACAUGCUGCAAGACGGAGGCUGCCAGAAGCGUAGUCUUCGAUAGGGCUAGCUAUCCCCCUCUUAUUCUGGCAUUCUGCAGUUCAGUCCACUCAUAUUGCCUCCUUACACAUAUACCCAUGCAUAUGUAGUGUAGCUCCUUGCUUGCGAGUACUUUGGAUGAGUACUCACGGUUGCUUUUCUCCCUCUUUCCCCCCUUUCCCUUCUACCUGGUUGUCGCAACCAGAUGUCGGAGCCCAGGAGCCAGACGCCACCGUCGACGACGACUCCUACUACACUGGAGGUGCCUACUACUACGUGCAGGCUGCUGACGACAACCAGGAGUAGUUAGGAGGAUCCCAGGAAGGAGGCCUGCGCCUCUUUCGAUCUGUAUCCCAGUUUGUGCUAGCCUUCUUAAGGCAAACUUGUUUAACUUAUGUAUGUACUCAGAUAUUGUUGCUUCCGCUGAAUCGUCUAUGAUCGAGCACUUGUAUUCGAGCCCUCGAGGCCCCUGGCUUGUAAUAUGAUGCUUGUAUGACUUAUUUUACUUUUAGAGUUGUGUUGUGAUAUCUUCCCGUGAGUCCCUGAUCUUGAUCGUACACAUUUGCAUGCAUGAUUAGUGUACGAUUGAAUCAGGGGCAUCACACCAACCCCGCCUGGUGGCAUUUUUGUAUACAAGAAAACUCCAUGAGCACCAAACACUCAAGCAUAGACUUGAACCCUAAUGGGCUGGCUGCGAACUCCCGCGCCUUGCCAACUGAGCUACGCUCAAUUCUCAUCAGUUUGUUGAUUGCUAUUUUGGCCUUGAUGAUCUUUGAAUCGAUGGAUUCCAACACCCACUUAUUCUGUUGUCGAUUCAGAAGCGCCUCGUUUAUUCUGAUUUUGGCGAGUUAAUUGCACAGAAGUACCACAAUUGAGGCAUCACAUGCAGAUUGGUGCCACGAUUGCUAAUUUUUGCGUGUCAGUACCAACAUUGGUCCAGGUUUUUACAAAAGAGGCUAAAAUGCGUAUUUAUACGUAUUGACGCUAGAACCGACAACUGGGCCCCACCCGUCAGGUGCCACGCUGGCCAAUCGGCGCAUGCCUGCGUGUGCCCGCGCGCUGACUAGGACAAGCCGGUGCGUUGCUCUCCUAACCGGCGCGGUCGCACCAGCCCGAGCCCGGCCGCACCAUUCCCCUCCCCUCUUCCUCCUCGACUCGAACCCUAGUCCAUGGCGUCGACGACUCCGCCAGGCGGCGGUGAGGGCGUCCAUGGCGGCGGUGAGAUGUCGUUCUGGCCUCCUAGCGGAAUGGCUGGCGUGGACGGGGAUGGCGGCGACGACUCCAGCUCCGCGUACUCGUUCGACGACGAGGAGUCGAUGUUACUCACCAUGGAGCAGCGGUUGCGGUUGGCGCAUCAGUGGGUGGCGAACCCUAGCAGCAGCCAUGAGUUGACGCAUGGACUAGGCGACGUGUUGUAAGUACCCUUGUCCUACUCCUCCUCUGAUUUAUCCAAUUGGGCAUUUUUAGGGUUUGUUCAUCUUCUGCUUUAUCCAGUUGGGUAUUAGGUUUUAUCCAAUUGAAGUGACUAGUAUAGGACAAUUAAAUUAACCUAGUAACAUAGUGUAUUGCACUCUCAAAUUAGUUCAAUUACAGUAAAAGUUUGGGAUUAUGGUUUUACUAAGUGAAUUAUUGUGGCCUUGUCUUUUUCCUUGAUUUUGCUAUUGUGCUGAAUUAGUAAAGUACAUUGAUUCAUGUUUUAGCAUCUGUAAUAGUAAUAGUAAAUAUUAGACUUACAGGUUAUUUUAAAUUGUUCUGUACUGUAGUGUUGCUCUCCAAAUUAAGAGCAAUUAUAAUGAAUACAUGAAAUUUAAUUUGUUCUGUAGUUUUGAUGAAGACAUUUGGCAAGUAAGGAUCCAUUUUGAUGCAAGAGAACCAUUGGAGAUGAAGCUGUGUGGUUCAGAUAUUACUUAUCUGAAUUUGGUUGCAGUGAUGGAAACCCAAGGAUUUAAUGCAUAUGAUUGUUUGUAUCACAUUGAAAAUCCAUCUUUAGGAGAGAAAGGGCUGGAUUUGGUAGACAAUCAUGCAGAAUUACAGAUGAUAAAGAGGAAGAUCCAGGACAAAUUGGUGCUUAAUUUGCUAGUCAGGGCUUGUCCACCCCAUGAUACUGAUUUUGAGAUGCAACAUUUUGGAAAGCCAGAGUUGUCCACUGUGGUGUACCAAGAGCCUAUUGUUUAUGAUCCGAGUGAGCCUCCUAUCUUAGCUGUCGACCAGGAAGGAGUAGUUUUUGAGAGUCAAUGUAGCAUCUCUAGCACACCUCAUCCUGCUGGUCCUCCUGGUGUUUGCACACAAGAAAGCAAGAAUGCAACAGCCAAGUUAAAAUCAGUUUUGGAAGAAGAAGAAGAGGGAUAUCAAGGAUUUGAGGCUUAUGAGGACAGUGAUGCCUCUGAUGAGGAUGGUCAAAUUGGAAGUGACCCUCAUUACAUCGUUGAUGAUGAAGAUGUAGAGGUGGAAGAGGGAAAGAGACAGAGAGAGCUAGAAGUACAAGAGGAAGAACCAGAUGAUGAUCAAACAGAAGAGGAAGAAAUGAUGCAUUAUGAGGGUGACACUGAAGUUGAGGACCCAUUUGAGGUAGAGGAAGAUAGGACUUUUGAACAAGAAGAAGAAAUUAUAGUUGAGCCUGUAAAGAAGAAGCAGAAGCUGCCAGUUAGAAGAGGACCAACCACUAGGUCACAUUGUAGUAAGCUACCAGAGGUUGAACCUGAUUUCAGACCAUCAUCAGAUGAAGAAGAGAAGGGGUUGUUGAGGGAGAGUGAUGAUGAUGGUUUUGAGCCACUCUCUUUUGUCCUACUAAAGAAAAGGAAGAGUAGGGCAAAGAAAAGGCCUGCUAGGAAGUGUUACAAUGAGAAAAUGGAGCAACCACAUGAGCAACUGUGUAUAAAGUUGUGUUUUAGGGAUCAGCAUCAAUUCAGAGAUGCUUUGUUGAAUUUGCACAUCACUCAGGCCAGGGAUUUCAAGUAUCACAGGAAUUCAGAUCAAAGGAUAAUUGUUGAGUGUACAGAUAAACAAUGCCAAUUCUUAAUGGUGGCAGCAGUUAUAAAAGGGGGAAAACCUUUGUAAUUAAGAAGAUGAGACUAGAGCACACUUGCCCUAGUACCACUGAGACCACCAGGGUUAGUGCUAAGUGGCUAGCACAGAAAUAUGAGCAUCUCUUCAUAUCUGAUAUAACUACUGGUAUUCAGACUAUAAUUGAUGCAUGCAAUGAAAAAUAUGGUGUAGAUGUGCCCAAGUGCAUGGCAUAUAGGGCAAAGAACAUAGCUAUUGAAGCUGUGUUAGGAGAUCACAAGAAGCAAUAUACUAGGCUUAAAGACUAUGCUCAGACUGUCAUGGACACAAACCCUGGGAGUAGAGUAAUAGUCACUACUAUUACUCCAGUACCAAAUGCAAAAAUACCCCACCCAGGCCCAAGAUUCCAUGCCAUGUUCUUUUGCCUUAAUGGAGCAAGGGAGGGGUUUCUCAAUGGGUGUAGGCCAUUCACUGGUUAGUUCCCUAACCCUGUGCACCAUUUACAUACGUAGAGUACUCCAUAUUGUAUCUCACUUGAAUGUAUUUAAUGUUUGGAAAUGUUGAUUCUGCAGGUGUUGAUGGAUGCUUCAUUAAGCUCACUACAGGUGCUCAACUACUUGCUACCACUGGUAGAGAUGGCAACAACAACAUAUAUCCACUGGCAUUUGGCAUAGUUGGUCAAGAGGACACACCUAGUUGGUGUUGGUUUCUACACCAACUGAAAAUUUGCCUAGGGGGAGAAGUGGGCAAGUUUGGACCUUAUACUAUAAUGUCAGAUAGACAAAAGGUAUGUGUUUGCAUAUUUCAUUCUGUUUUGAACAAGUGUUUAAAGUAGCUUAGAUUUUCAUUGGUGCAUAUUUCUUUAGCUUGUAGCUUAGACUUGUUAAAUUGUUUGUGUCAGGGGUUAUUGAAUGCAGUGAAUGCCGUGUUUCCAAAUUGCAACCAAAGAUUCUGCCUUAGACAUUUAUAUGCAAAUUUCCAAAAUGCUGGAUUUAGGGGUGAAGAUCUUAAGAAAUGCAUGGAUAAUGCUAGCUAUGCCAACAAUGAACACAUAUUUAAUAUUGCAAUGAAUGAUCUUAGAGCUGAAAGUGAGGAAGUUGGGAAUGGCUUACUACAAUACCAAAAAAAACAUGGGCAAGGCAUGCAUUUGACACAAACUGCAAGACUGACUUGGUAGUGAACAACUUGUCUGAGGUGUUCAACAAGUACAUUCUAGAUGUUAGGAGAAAACCUAUAAGGACAAUGUGUGAUGGGAUAAAAUAUAAGUAGAUGGUGAGGUGGCACAUGAAGAGAGAGUGCAUAAAGGCAGCAAGAUGGGAGAUAACACCUCAUUACAGUGAGAAGCUAGAGGUUGAGAAGGAGAGGGCCAGAUACUGCAAGCCAAUACAGGCAGGGGGUCAACUUAUGGCAAGUUACAAGUGGGCAGCAAACAAAUGUUAUCAACCUGGAACUUGAGACUUGUGGAUGCAAGAAGUGGGACCUUAGUGGCAUACCUUGCAACCAUGCCAUCUCUGCAAUAAACAAGGCUAAAAAUAAACCAGAGGAUUAUGCCAGCAAAUUCUUCAAGAAAGAUUUUUAUGUUGCAGCUUAUGAACCAAUGAUCUUUCCUGUGCCUAGUGAGCAUGAUUGGACAAGGACCCCUAGUCCAGACAUAGAACCACCUGCAUUCAAAAUCAAGAGAGGAAGAAGGAAAGAAAAGAGGGUCAAGGGCAAAUUUGAAGUACCAAAGUCAAAAGACACUUCAAGAAUGGGGACCAUAACAUGUGGCAAUUGUGGUCUACAAGGGCAUAGGUACACAAACUGUCUUAAACAGUUGAAGCCUGAGCUAGCUUUGAGGAAGAAUAAGCAUGUGGUAAUAAUUUUUCACCUUGAAAUAUACUAAUGUUUCCUUUCUUGUACAUUUCUUUCUAUCAUUAUUAACUGUUUCCUUUUCUUUGUAAGGCUACUCCAAGUACCUCACAGCCAAGAGCUGCUGGUCCUUCUACUACACCAAUAGCAAGACAGCCAAGACAUGCUGCUUCUGCUCCUACACCACCAUCAUCUGGAAGAAGAGGAGCUGGCAGAGGAAGAGCUGCUACUACUUCUACUACUCCACCACCAUCUGGAAGAGGAGCUGGCAGAGGAAGAGCUGCUGCUACUUCUACUACCCCGUUCGUCCGCAGCAGCAGCGUCAACUCCACCAGGACCGAGGAGGGCGCGUCGGCAGCGUCAGGGAGGUUCACCUGCCCCGGCGGCCACGGCCACGGUCGGCGCCCACGAGCGGCCGCAUUGCAAGAAAGUCGCUCCGACGACGACAACCGCAGCUGGUAGCAACAGCAACGGCAACAGCGGUGGCGGUGCGAGAUCGGUUUACUACUACGGGUACGGAGGCGGCAGGAGCGGCAGCGACGGCCAUGGUGGCGGCGGGGUCCAGGUGAGCCCGGUGCUGAAUGUGACGUCCAUCGGCACGAGCGUGGUGAACAUGCUGAGCCACCUGCUGUGCGACUGUAGCGAGAAGGCCCCCAAGCAGCAGAGUAGGGGCUUCGGAGUGCGCUGCUGGGUAACCAGGUAGUAAUACAAGCAGUAGUACUACAAGUUAAGCGCACUCGUUAAAAUUGUUAUGAAAGCAACUUAUAUUAUUAGGAGGCCAAUGUCAACAUAUAUACACAUACAUGAGGAUGCCAAAAGGCUACAAGAGGAUGCCAAGAGACUAGAAUGCAAAAGGCCAAAAGACAUCACUUAAUAUGACUCUAACACCCCCCCUCAAACUCAUCGUGGAUCCACAACACUGAGUUUGGAGAGAUGAAAUCCAUGUUGCGCUCUAGUCUGAGCAUUCGUGAAGAAGUCCACUAGAUGUAACUCAGAAGGCACAUACUGAAGAGCAAAAACAUGAUCAUGCACAGCAGCGCGCACAUAAGAAGCAUCAACACCAAUGUGUUUGGUAAGCUCAUGCUUCACGGGGUCCCGCGCAAUACUGAUAGCACCUGUGCUGUCUGACAGGAGGGUGGUAGGUGUAGUAAUAGAAACACCAAAAUCCUCCAGUAACCAUCGUAACCAAGUCACCUCAGCCGUCAGAAGAGCCAUAGCUCGCAACUCGGCCUCUGCACUCAAACGAGAAACUGCAGUUUGUUUCUUCGUCUUCCAGGAAAUGAGGGAACCACCAAGAAAGACACAGUAGGCAGAAAGUGAACGGCGAUCCAUAGGAUCACUAGCCCACGUAGCAUCCGAAUAGGCCUGGAGCUGUAACGAGCUGUAACGGGAAAAAAGAGACAAUGAGAGAUCGUGCCAUGAAGAUAUCGUAGAACGCGAAGAAGGUGACUAUAGUGAACUGAAGUGGGAGCAGAAACGAACUGACUCAGAAUAUGGACAUGAUAGGAGAUAUCUGGACGAGUGACAGCAAGAUACACAAGACUCCCAACAAGAUGACGAUAACGUGUCGGAUCAGACAAGGGCUCACCAUCAGAAGCACGAAGGUGAACAUUGAGCUCCAUAGGAGUAUCAUUAGUGCGCUCAUCACUAAGAGCCGCACGAGUAAGAAGACCCUGGAUAUACUUUUCUUGGGAAAUAAAAAAGUCUGCAGAGGUGGAGGAAACCUCAAUCUCAAGAAAGUAACGAAGAGGACCAAGAUCAGACAUAAAGAACUGCUCAUUAAGACGGGCCUUGACAAAGGCAAUGUACUCAGAAUCAUCGCCGGUGAUGAUCAUGUCAUCAACAUAUAGAAGAAGAAGAGUGCGACCACGAGCAGAAAGGUGGACAAACAACGCUGGAUCGUGAUCACUGGGUGAAAAACCAGCAGCAGUGACCACAGAGGCAAAAUGCUCAAACCAAGCGCGAGGGGCUUGCUUAAGGCCGUAGAGAGAGCGACGAAGACGACAAACCAUGCCAUCGGGAACUGAAUACCCAGGUGGUGGCUGCAUAUAAACCUCCUCAUGCAACUCACCAUUAAGAAAGGCAUUUUUAACAUCAAGCUAUGACACGGACCAGUGACGAAUAGAGGCCACAGCGAAAAGUGUGCGGACAGUGGUCAUAUGGGCCAUAGGAGCAAAAGUCUCAUCAUAAUCACGACCAUGCUCCUGUUGAAAGCCGCGAGCCACAAGACAAGCUUUAUAACGCUCAAGAGAACCAUCAGAGCGAGUCUUAAUCUUAUAGACCCACUUACAAGUUAUGGGACGAACACGGGGAGGAAGAGAAACCAGAUCCCAUGUGCCAUUGCGCUCAAGUGUGGCAAUCUCCUCUGCCAUCGCAAACUGCCAUUCAGGAUGAACAAGAGCAUCACGAUAAGAGGUAGGCUCAAGUACAACCGAAAGGCCAUAUCGGCUAGGAGAAUAGCGGUCAGGAGGAGAGCAAGGUCGAGCCCGAAGACCAUAAGUCGGCUGGGACGAGGAAGACGGUGCACCAGAAGUAGAUGGCACGUCAGUAGAUUCAUCCAUAACACGUCGACAACGGGUAUAAUGAAAAGGAAAAGUGGGAUGAGAAGGAACCACCGGAGGUGAUGGAGAUGGUGAAUACAUUGGUGAUGAAGGUGGAGUGUCAUGCAAUAAGGAAGGAGAAGAAACGAUAGGAGAAGAUGGUGUCGGAUCUGCAAUAGUGGGACGAGAAGGAGGAGUAGGAAUAUGAGGCAUAGAGGGAGGUGUAUCAGGAAACGUGAGAAAAGAUAUAUCCUCUACUGAAAAGGUCGAAGAGGAUGGUCGUGGGUAGAAUGGACGAGACUCAUCAAAAGUCACAUCCCUAGAAAUACGCAUCCGUUGACCGACAUGAUCCCAACACCGAUAACCCUUAGGUUCAUCACUGUAACCCAGAAAAACACACUCAACAGACUGAGCGGUUAGUUUGGUGCGUUCUCAGGGGGCAAGGAGAACAUAACAAACACAACAAACAACCGAAGAGCAGAAUAAUCAGGAGAAUGAUCAGAAAGACGCUCUAGAGGAAUACCUCCCUGUAGAGCAGAUGAGGGUUGAAUGUUUAUGAGAUAUGUGGCAAUGGAGACAGCCUGAGCCCAGAAAUGAGGCGGAAGAGAUGCGGCAAUCAUCAUCGCACGAGAUGUCUCAAGAAGGUGACGAUGCUUGCGCUUAGCCACGCCAUUCUGAGCGUGAGCGCCGGGACAAGAGAAUUGAGCAAGAGUACCCUGCUCGGCAAGAAAACCACGCAACACUUUGGAGAUAUACUCGCCAGCAGAAUCAGCACGAAACACGCGAAUAGGUGUAGAGAACUGAGUGUGGACCAUGGCGGCAAAACGCUUAUAAAUAGAGAGAACCUCGCUACGAGAAGACAUGAAGUAAAGCCAAGUGUAGCGAGAGAAAUCAUCUAUAAAAAUAAUAUAGUAGCGAUGGCCCCCUUUGGAAGAGAAGGGAGCCGGACCCCACACAUCUGAAUGUACUAAAUCAAAAGGGCGCUGCGACACUGACUCGCUAGUAGGAUAAGGUAACUGAACUUGUUUACCAAGCCUACAACCCUGGCAUUGUAAGGAGACAUCUCCUGAGACAGGCCCCAGAAGACCACGACGAACUAAAGACCAUAGUCGAGAACCACAAAGGUGACCAAGUCGAUGAUGCCAUUGCUGGAAGGAGCUGGUAGUUGAAGCGGCAAAGGCAGAUGGACUGGCGAGUGUGGUGGUAGCGGAAGGAACAUUAAGCCAGUCCAACUCCCAAAGCCCUUGAGAAUCACGGUAGCGCGGGCCAGCCCCAACCAGAGCCUUCGUGUGACGAUCCUGGAUAGUGCAAGAAUCAACGUCAAGAAUGACACGACAACCAGAAUCAGUAAGCCGACCCGCAGAAAAUAGGUUCAUGGUAAGGCGAGGCACGUGAGAAACAUCUGGAACAUAAAAGGAAGAAGUGGCAAGAGUGCCUCGACUCGCAACAGGAAUUGGAGUACCAUCAGCAGUAAGAACAUUAAUUGGAAAAUCGAGAGAUCUACGAGAGGACAAGAUAGAAGAAUCGGAGGACAUAUGAAAUGAAGCUCCAGAAUCCAGAACCCAUGAGGAUGUACCUGACUGUGUAGACAGUGGUCGCUCAGCACUAGAAGCACCAGUCACAGAGCCUGCAGUACCUGUCGAAGAACCUGAAGCAGCAAGUAGACGCUUGAGCUUCACAAUAUCUUGCUCAGUCAAGGAGACAGUAGACGGCGUCGAGGAAGAAGCACGAGUUCCAAAAGAAGAAUUGCGCUCCCUAUUACGCAUACCACGCUUCUUCUUGAAGCAGUCAGACUCGGGGUGACCAUCCCUGUUGCAGUAGUCACAAUGAGUACGAGGACGAGAGCGGCCUUCACGAGAGCGGGCCUCACUACCCGGAGGAGUGGGCAGUAGCGGCGGAGCACUGGAGUGAGAAGACAUUGGUGGAGUAGCACCUCAAGCAGAGAGCACAGAGGGAACCUGAAGCAAACCAGCACCACGGAGGUGAGUCUCCUCAGCACGAAGCUCAGAAAGCACCUCAGAAAUAGGAACCCGGCCACGGGCAAACAACUGAGCACGUCGAGGCUCAAACUCCCCACGGAGCCGUGACAAGAACUCAUAGACGCGCUGAAACUCCAAGUCUGACCUCACAGUCUGGCAACACGGGCAAGUGCCACAAACAAUAGUGCGAAGGGAGUCAAGCUGGCGCCAUAUAGCAGAACUCUGAGUGUAGAACUCAUCAAUAGUGGAGUCUUCCUGCUGAAGAGCAUGCUCCUGACGGACCACAGACAAGUAGAGAGCAUCACCAGAGGGCUGAUAGCGCUGACGAAGAUGAGUCCACAUCUCAAAGACAGUACUGAGGCCUAUAAAUUCAGAAGCAAACUGAGGCAAAACACUGGAAGUGAGAACAGUCGCAGCACGAGCAUCAUCAUCACACCACUGAGUGUAAGCAGCCAGAUCGUCACGAUAAACAGAAAGAGCAUUUGAAUAAUCCAAGACCUCCUGGUCAUAAGCGGCAUCCGCAUCAUCAGCAGCAACCCUGGCUGCAGCCCUAUCAGCAUCAGAAGCAUCUGCGUCAAUAGCCGGUGGUGUCGGCGGUGGGGUAGGAGCCACAGGAGGCACUGGGCGCGGAGGACAGGGGACCUCACCGAAAAGAACACCCCAGAGACGAAUGUCACGCAUGUGAAUGCGCAUAAAGGCAACGAACUCAGCAUAGUUAGCCCCAUCAAAUAUCACUGGGCAGCGCGGGAUGGCAACAUAGCCAGAUGACGCCAAAGACAUGGUGCUCUUUUUUUUUUGAGAAUAGCAAAGAUCACCCAAGACUCAACUGGCCAAGAUGAGAGCGGCCAGAACCAGCAGCAGAUCAAUCAAACGAAAAGCCAGCCGAACAAGGAUCAAAUCGGUUUGACAGAGUUGCGAUCUGGAGCAGUAGACACCCGGACAAGAAACAGCAGCAGCCACUCACGUGACCACGCGAGCGCCCUGCAGGCAGCUGCGGAAGACAGCAGCGUCGCGGACGGGCCGGCGGCCGGUGGCAGCGGCGCAGAUGGGGCGGCGACCGGUGGCGCCGAAGAAGACAACAGUGAUGCAGACGAGGCCGGCGGUCGGGCGGGGACGGAGCGGUUGACCUCCGAUAGCUGCUGCCUCUGCUCGAUCGAGAGAUGAACCGACAGGCGGCUCGAGCAGGCUGCAGCGACGGGCCGGCCUGCAGACGGCAGCAGCGGCGCCGACGAGGACGGCGGCCGGCAGCCGUGGAAGGCAACAGCGCCGCUGACGAGGCCGGCGGCCGGCAGCCACGGAGGAAGACAAACGGCCGGCGGCGACCUUGGAUGAAGACAAGCGGCCAGCGGCUCAAUCGAUCGGGAUGAAAUCCGAUAUAGAAUCCAACACAGCGAUGGAUCAGCUAGCUAGCAUGGACGUGAAGCGCCUGUAGCUGGAGAUGGACAUAGGCAAAAGCAAAAUCACGGACCGGCAGAACAGAGAGCAACGGCGGCCGUGCAGAAGAUUGGACUGGAAGCAGCACGAGUUGCGCGUGUGGAAAAAAAAACCUAGAGCUCUAAUACCAUGUUAUGAAAGCAACUUAUAUUAUUAGGAGGCCAAUGCCAACAUAUAUACAUAUACAUGAGGAUGCCAAAAGGCUACAAGAGGAUGCCAAGAGACUAGAAUGCAAAAGGCCAAAAGACAUCACUUAAUAUAACUCUAACAAAAAUUACUGACUGGUUGUCCACUUGUCGCCAUGGUUGCUUGUAAGUAAAGUAAGAUGGAAAGAUGAAUCAAUCCAUGUGAAUCGUGACCGAUUGAUGGAUUCAGUGCGUCUAUGCGACGGGACAGAGUAUUGCUUUGUGCAUGCAUGGAGGAUGCCCUAGCCCUAUUGGUUGUGUCGUUGGUUAGUGGGUGUCAAGGCAUGGAUAGAUCGGGGGUUGAGAGGGACGUGCAUGUGGUGUUGUGGGGGGAGGAAAGAGAGAUGAUUCAUCGGCCAUGAGAGACCGAUGGAGUGCAUGGGGACUCGGUGUCCCCGCCCGGGUUUCCUGCCGGGCUGGGCUUGCUUGGCGUCGCAGCAUGUCUCUGUCUCUCGCACGGAACACACAGUUUUAUUACUCCAAUCAUACAUACUCCCUCCUUUCCGGUUUAUCAUGUGUUGAUCAAGUACUCCCUCCGGCCCCAAAUAGGGAGUGUACAGGAUCAUGUGCUUGUUUGGGCCGUCGGCAUUGUUUUGGCCGUCGGGGUAUGGCCCUGUUCCGGUAGUGAAUACGUCCGCGCUGGCGUAACAUUUUGCAAAGCGAUUCGAAGGGUUUCCUCGUACUUCCAUUCUUCGGCGGCGUGUUCCAGUAAAGCUGAUCCUGGCAGUUGGUAGGACAUCGGCAACGGCGCUGUGCGUGCAUGUCUCACCGGUCGGCAGCGCGACGUGGACGGCGGCGAGCCUUAACUACGGGAGGUGAGGAGGCUGGAGGGCCGGGAUCACCGACCGCCCACUUGGUGGGCGGCGGACCUGGCCCCAUGCCCAUGCUCUCUCACUAUCGGCGGCCCUGGAUCGGAGGGCUGGAGUGAGGCCCGUGCGCGUCUCGUGAGGCCUUCGUGCCUGACUCAGGCCCGAUCAAUUGAUUUUAAUGCAAAAAUAGAUUAACCUUUCCUUGCUUAAAAAACAACAACAAUUGGUUCCUCUCUUCUGAAGAACUCAUCACAGUCAAAUUUCUGAUAAAUACUUUAUUGAAUCUUUUGCAUGAACUAGACAGAUCCAUGGCGCGCAUGUAUCUUAGCCUAUCUUACACGCAUCGUUUUAUUGUUUCUACGUCGUUUAAUUAGAGCAGCAGCACGAACCACCAUUGUCUGGUUUACAGUGGCUCUUUUUGAAUUCGAAAAACGAGCAGUGGUUCCUGCACGCCUCCUCGGAUUCAUGGCCUUUCUCACAGCUUGCAAAACGCACACACAAGUCCAAGGGGAUUGGUUUUGUUGAACCUGUGCACGA
rnacentral:lncRNA from 1 species